rnacentral:rRNA from 1 species
GGCUCUUUGAAAUAAAUACAUAAAGAGUCAAGCCUGCCCAGUGAUUUUUUAAACGGCCGCGGUACUCUGACCGUGCAAAGGUAGCAUAAUCAUUUGCCCUAUAAUUGAGGGCUUGUAUGAACGGUUUGACAAGAGCAUAACUGUCUCUUAAAAAUUUUAUAAAAUUUGGUUUUUAGGUGAAGAAACCUAAAUAUAAUUGAAAGACAAGAAGACCCUAUCGAGCUUUAGAGCAAUUAAUUAAAAAAUAUAAUUAAAAUAAUUAAUUUUAAUUAAAAACUUUGGUUGGGGCGACUGAGGAACAUAUAAAGCUUCUUUAAUUAGAAUAUGCUUAUAGGCUAUGAUCCAAAAAGUUUGAUUAAAAAAAUUAGUUACCGUAGGGAUAACAGCAUAAUCUUUUUCAAGAGUUCUUAUCGAAAAAAAGGUUUGUGACCUCGAUGUUGGACUAGGAUAUCUCAAAGAUGCAGAAGUCUUUAACAGUUGGUCUGUUCGACCAUUAAAAUCCU